CCCGUGAUAGCUCAGUUGGUAGAGCGGAGGACUGUAGUGGUCUCGGUGAGCAGGCAUCCUUAGGUCGGCGGUUCGACUCCGUCUCGCGGGA
rnacentral:tRNA from 1 species